UGAAGUCUGAAAUUACGACUUCAUGAAGCUGGAAUUGCUAGUAAUGGCAGGCAGCAUACUGCCGUGAAUACGUUCCCGGGCAUUGUACACACCGCCCGUCACACCAUGAGAGUUGGGAAUACCCGAAGCCUGUGAGCUAACUGUAAAGAGGCAGCAGUCGAAGGUAGAAUCAAUGAUUGGGGGUGAAGUCGUAACAAGGUACC
rnacentral:rRNA from 1 species